CCUACGGGGGGCAGCAGUGAGGAAUAUUGGUCAAUGGGCUUACGCCUGAACCAGCCAAGUCGCGUGAGGGAAGACUGCCCUAUGGGUUGUAAACCUCUUUUGUCAGGGAGCAAUUGGCGCUACGUGUAGCGUUAUCGAGAGUACCUGAAGAAAAAGCAUCGGCUAACUCCGUGCCAGCAGCCGCGGUAAUACGUAGGGGGCAAGCGUUAUCCGGAUUUACUGGGUGUAAAGGGAGCGUAGACGGCGCUGCAAGUCCGGAGGGAAAGCCCAUGGCUUAACCAUGGUACUGCUCUGGAAACUGUGGAGCUUGAGUGCGGGAGGGGCAGGCGGAAUUCCUAGUGUAGCGGUGAAAUGCGUAGAUAUUAGGAGGAACACCGGCGGCGAAGGCGGCCUGCUGGACCGUAACUGACGUUGAGGCUCGAAAGCGUGGGGAGCAAACAGGAUUAGAUACCCGGGUAGUC
rnacentral:rRNA from 1 species